rnacentral:rRNA from 1 species
UACGUAGGGUGCAAGCGUUAUCCGGAAUCACUGGGCGUAAAGCGUGCGUAGGUGGGAAUUUAAGUGUGAUGUUAAAUCGUGUGGCUCAACCAUAUCGAUGCAUCGCAUACUGGGUUCCUAGAGGACGGCAGAGGCAAGUGGAAUUAGCAGUGUAGCAGUGAAAUGCGUAGAUAUUGCUAGGAACACCAAUGGCGAAGGCAGCUUGCUGGGCCGCUCCUGACACUGAGGUACGAAAGCGUGGGGAGCGAACAGG